AAUAUUUCACAAUGGGCGCAAGCCUGAUGCAGCGACGCCGCGUGAGGGAUGACGGCCUNCGGGUUNUNAACCUCUUUCAGUAGGGNAGAAGCACUUCGGGGUGACGGUACCUGCAGAAGAAGCGCCGGCUAACUACGUGCCAGCAGCCGCGGUAAUACGUAGGGCCGAAGCGUGGUCCGGAAUAAUUGGCCGAAAAGGGACAGUAGGCGGUUUGUCGCGUCUGCUGUGAAAGCGCGAGGCUAAACCUUGCGCCUGCGGUGGGUACGGGCAGACUAGAGUACGGUAGGGGAGACUGGAAUUCCUGGUGUAGCGGUGGAAUGCGCAGAUAUCAGGAGGAACACCGGUGGCGAAGGCGGGUCUCUGGGCCGUUACUGACGCUGAGGCGCGAAAGCAUGGGGAGCGAAC
rnacentral:rRNA from 1 species